CGUCUAGAGUGUUCACCGCGGGCCCAUCCACUUUUCUGCCGCCGAAUACAUUAGCAUGGGAUAAUGGAAUAGGACCCUGUCCUCCUAUUUUCAGUUGGUUUGCCGCGAGGACCAGGGUAAUGAUUAAUAGGGAUAGUUGGGGGCAUUAAUAUUUAAUUGUCAGAGGUGAAAUUCUUGGAUUUAUGAAAGAUUAACUUCUGCGAAAGCAUCUGCCAAGGAUGUUUUCAUUAAUCAAGAACGAAAGUUAGGGGAUCGAAGACGAUCAGAUACCGUCGUAGUCUUAACCAUAAACGAUGCCGACCAGCGAUUAGGAGACGUUGAAUACAAAACACCACCAUGCGCAUUGCGGUCGUCUUUGGUGUGUCGCUCACAAGGCGGCAUCAUCGGGACGGCUUAGCUCGCAUGGCACCGGUGAAUGACUCCCCUACAGCCUUGUGAGAA
rnacentral:rRNA from 1 species